CGGAGGUCUGAAACCAGGCCAGGCCGUCUGUUCCCCGUGCCCACACUAUCAUGAGUCCCCCCGAGGCCCUGGGGACAUCAGUGGCCUCCAACACUGGGGAUACUUCGUGGUCACUGCCGGGUAUAUUGAGAGCAGGUAAUUUGGAAGAAAAGGGGAGUAGCUCAAAGCCUUCCAUGUAUUUAAAAAAAAAAAAUAACGAAACGCUCUAUUUACAAUAACGAUGGCAGUUCAGCCCAGAGCAACUGACGUCACGGCUGCAGAAGGGCUCCUCCAGUGACGUCGGCCCGCAAACAGCCCCUCCCUCGCCGCCACAGCCGCAAUCGGCCGCUGCAGAGGAGCAAAUGCGCAUGCCCCGGCGAGCCGCUGUUGCCAGGGAAACCAGCCACCAGUCACAAACAAAUCACCGCCUAACUGCGCAAGUCAAGAAAUGACCCGGCCGUGGCUGUGAGCCAAAAGAGCCCCUUGCACUAAGGGCGGCCCGGGCAGCCUCCCACCCAGUGCCCCCUAUUUUCCUUCCUGAAUCAGUAAAGCCUAGAGGCUAGAGGCCAGAGUCCGAAGUCAUUAGAGAAAAAAGGCUGCGUUGGGAGUGGGGAUGGGGGUGGGGCUGUCAACAGUGGGUGGCAGGUGAUCUUAAUAAUCAAAUAUGUCUGUGAGCAACGUUUAACUCUUCUCCCACUAAGCGUCUGUGUUUCAUGCUGGAGCCUUCCACCUACAGUGAAAAGAGGGACAGGAACUCAGAUCUGAGAACAUCUUCAAUCAUAACCCAUCCUAUCAAGUCUAAUCCAAACAUCAUAAGACUGAGAUACUGUUCCGAGUACAAUUUCUCAUCCUGGUAACAUCUUCGUCAAGUCACAGUGUUGCCAUUAGGCCCCUGACCUGAAGAUGGGUCUCAGCAAAAGAUGCCUAACUCCUUCUGCAAUCCUCCAAUUACACGCAGAAAUUCAGGCCCAGACCCAGUGUUGUUAUUAUCUACUCUGCUCAGAAAAAAAAUGCACAGAGUUCACCUGUGUCCUCAGCUCUAUCAUCAUGACCCCCACCUGUCAGCAUGGCUACUGGAGGACUUCUGCUAAAGAAGAAUAA
rnacentral:lncRNA from 1 species